rnacentral:lncRNA from 1 species
CACGGUGGCGGCUCUGUUUAUUUUUGUGUUAGCCCGCCGGUUGUUUUUUGCGGAUGCGACAACGGUCACAAGGUUGCUCAACUCUAUCAGAGACGUCAAAGGCUCACGGUGAAAGCUGUAGGAGCAAGUCUUCCGCUUCAACUCUGGAACGGUUGCCAUCUCUAUCAAUGACAGACCCCUGAACGAACUUGAGAAAUGAUAUGCAUGCAGAGAUUAGCUUUUUUUCCUUUUGUUUUUUUUUCAAUUUU